CAUACACGAACACGUCCCCAAUAGGUGGACAAGUCAUACUUAGAGGUGGGCAGCUUAUUGCUGGACAUUGUGGUGUUGGUGUUGGUAGUCGGUACAAAAAUUUGCUUAAUUAACCCGAUUGGUAGUGUCUUUGGAGUUCAUAAUAGCUACAAAAAAAGUUUUCCUUACAAAAAUCUAAAUAGUUAUAGCAUUUUUUUAAGUACUAGUCAAUUUUUUUGGAAUGGCUAUUAAAUUGUUUGUCUUUGACGUAAAUGGCAAGAAUAAAUUAAAGAUUCGAUCACGCAUGACUAAGAAACAGCAUUUUUUAACAGAAAUACCAGAGUGCAUGAUAACUACUGAGACUUAAAUAGCAAAAAAUGAAGGUAGCCAUAAAAGUGUCAUGGCUAUGAAAGGCAAAGAUUCGUUCGUAAAUAAUUUUCAAGAAAGUUCUUCUUUCUUAAGGUUGGGCUGUUCAUUCUUUUCUUCGCUUUUCUGUUCUUCAACUGGUUCUGUCUUAUUUUCAUUUUUAACAUCAUCUUCUAUUUUCGUUUGCUGCUCAAAGAUUUUAUCAUCGUCAGAUUCUUCAUUUUCAAAAUCAUCUUCGGAGACGUCGUUUUGUGAAGCUUCAGAAAAUGGAAGGAUAGUAUUGAUCGCACGGGAUAAAACAUGUACGACUCUAGAUCGUAACGCUUCAUUUGAACAUUCAACUUUCAUAGUCGAAAAAUCAAUAGACGCUUCAUAUUUUUCAAAUUUGAUUUCAACCCCCUUUUCCGUUUUAGUCAUACUUUCGCCAAAUUGGUUGUCCAAAAACAUCAUCAGCUUUUUAAUACGAUCUUCCUCCUUUGAUACUUUUGGAGGCUUAUCUAAAUGCGAAUGCAAAUGGUUACAUUUAUGGCUCGUCACUAUUAAUGGUUAGAAAUUGUUCCACAUUAAACGCAGACUUACACUUGACAGAAGCAGGACUGCUUUCAAUGCCUAGUAGAAUAGUAAUUACUGAAUCAGCUAUUGUAUCAUUCAUAAUGUUGCCAACCCAUUCAAGAGCAAGCUUAUGUUCUUGGAUUAAAGUCAAAGUAAUGGCGUCCAUUACUGUAUAUUGAGGUUGUCCUGCCUUUGUUUUUGACUGUUUGACAUAUCCAAACAUUUGUUUUAAAUGGAAAUUUGCAAGCUCCAUACUCGAAAAAAAUGGAAUGACUUGUUUUUGGGUUAAAACGGUGGUAGUAAGGUCACUGAAAUCUCGAAGAUCUUCAGCUGACAUCAAUUUAUAAUUGGCAUCCUUUUGAAUUAAAAUUCCACUCAUAAUGUCGCCUUCUUUUGGUUUAUGAACAGCGACCUUUCCCAAAGCUCUCACUAACCGUUCCCCUUUGAAAGGAAGAUAUAACGGUACGCAAUUUCGAGGGGUAUAUACUUUGACAUCGACUUUUCUAUUGUGAAAUUUGCUGGCUAGAGCACUUUUUAAUCGACCCAUAUUUGUUUGCUCACCAUGCACCAAAAUCUAUAAUUAGUUAAUUUUAACGUUACAUUAGUAACUAAACAUACAAUGUGAUCGGCAUUUACCAGGUCAAUGAAUUCACUGUUUUGAAGAUAAUCAACAUGAGCCGCAAAAGAAAGUUCCUCCACUGCCAUUCUUCUAGGAAUCUUUUGGCCUGAAAGUGACACAAUUUCAAUAGGCUCAUUUGUAAUUUGCUUUGCCAUUGUCCCUUCAACAGAAUAACCAGUAAGAAGUAACGUAUUUCGAGGGUCAGGAGCCCAUCUUUCUAAGAGGGUUCUUGAAACACCAUUUUGUAGCAUACCAGGACUUGCCAAUAUUACAGAAGGGCCAAUAUCAUCGAAUUUUUCUAAAUUUCUUAGACUUUUGACAAAACGAAAGAUGAACGGAUUUCGUUCGGCAAAAAUUUUUCGAAUAUUAUCAUUCAUCAUGUUAACAUAAGUUUGAAAAAUGGCCAUACACUUUCUCGCUAGCGAUGAUGCAUAAUAGAUAGGGACUGAGCGAAGAUCGAGAUGAUUAUUCCAAUAUUCAUCGAGAAUGAGUAAUAACUCCUGAGCUCUUCCAAGAGCAAAGACAGGCAUCAAAACUCUCCCUCCAUUGCGAAUAGUGGAAUGAAUAAUAUUUAACAGUCUAGCCUCCUUCUCCAGUCUUGGUUGGUGAGAUGCUGUACCAUACGUGGAUUCUGUGAUCAGCACAUCUGGUCUUUUAGGAGGAACCUCAGCGACAUGCAAAUGGCGAUCUUCUUCUCGUGAGUAGUCGCCUGUAAAUAAAAUAUUGACUCCAGCCAUUUCCACAAAAUACAUACAGGCACCCAAAACAUGGCCCGCAUGAUAGGGUGUAAACUUUAUACCCUCAACUUCUAUAGUUGAAUGGUAGUCAACAGCCUCGAUUCUAUCAAAAGCGGCUAACAAAUCUUUCUCAUCGUAAAGCUGAUCUUCCAUGCCUACAUUACUGCGAGUUGUUAAUGAAUACUCAGAGCUAAGAAUACAUACCUCACUUUCACGUAGUCAGAUAAAAGCCACUUGCAAACUGCCUUUGUAGGAUGAGUCAUGAAGACACGACCUCUAAAGUUCGUCUUUUGCAUAACAUAGGGAAGCGAGGCUACAUGAUCCAAAUGGAAGCUUGCUUAAGUUAGAAAUACUUUUCAAAAAAAAAUGAAUCAAUGCCUAAGGGACCAUAAUAGUAAUUGGUACAAGAAGUACUCUAAUCUAAUAACCUAUGGUCGUCUCAAGUAGUGGUACAAAAGGGACUUACUGGCUAAUUAAAAGUACAUCUACAGUGCUCAAAUCAAACUCAUCAAAAAAAGGAAGAGCUGAAAGCCCAGUAUACGCAGGGUGAACACCGGCAUCGAGCUA